rnacentral:rRNA from 1 species
CCAGCAGCCGCGGUAAUUCCAGCUCCAAUAGCGUAUAUUAAAGUUGUUGCAGUUAAAAAGCUCGUAGUUGGAUUUGUGGCAUACGGUGGGUCCCGGGCACUUGUUGUCUGAGUGACUUGCUGUUGCCAUCCUUGGGUGGAACCUGUGUGGCAUUAGGUUGUCGUGCAGGGGAUGCCCAUCAUUUACUGUGAAAAAAUUAGAGUGUUCAAAGCAGGCUUAUGCCGUUGAAUAUAUUAGCAUGGAAUAAUAAGAUAGGACUUUUUUGCUAUUUUGUUGGUUUGCGCAAAGAGGUAAUGAUUAAUAGGGACAGUUGGGGGUAUUCGUAUUCCAUUGUCAGAGGUGAAAUUCUUGGAUUUUUGGAAGACGAACUACUGCGAAAGCAUUUACCAAGGAUGUUUUCAUUAAUC